rnacentral:rRNA from 1 species
UGCUGCAUGGCUGUCGUCAGCUCGUGUCGUGAGAUGUUCGGUUAGUCCGCUAACGAGCGCAACCCUCGCUGUGUGUUAUAUGUGUCACACGGGACUGCCGGUCUUAAGCCGGAGGAAGGUGGGGAUGAUGUCAAGUCAGCAUGGCCUUUAUAUCCUGGGCUACACACACGCUACAAUAGCCAACACAAUAGGUUGCUAAGCCGCGAGGUGGCGCCAAUCCAUAAAGUUGGUCUCAGUUCAGAUUGUAGGCUGCAACCCGCCUGCAUGAAGAUGGAGUUGCUAGUAACCGCAGGUCAGCUAUACUGCGGUGAAUACGUUCCCGGGGCUU